ensembl:lincRNA
NNNNNNNNNNNNNNNNNNNNNNNNNNNNNNNNNNNGGCUCUGACCUUGGCUCUGACCUUGGCUCUGACCUUGGGCUCCUGUCUCGUCCUUGCAGUGCCCGAAUGCCUUCCCCCCGCCCCGAGGGUGACGUCUGGUCUCCCCCUGCCCGCAGCGGGAAUCCGACGAGGCCCGUGCAGGAAGACCACCCUGCCCUCGCGCACCCUCGGGCUCGGCUCCUCGCCCGUGAGUCCCAACUCUUCUUCCUGUAUCUGAGGUGAGCUCGGGCUGCCUCCCGGGCUGCCAGACCCCGUCGCGGGCCCUGGUGAACACGCUUCCUCGCUGUCUCGCUGGCUUUAGCAGGCGUCAGAACGAUCUUCCUCGGCCAGUGCGUAUUGUUGUGGUCAUUUGCAUGUAUCUCUUGAGAACCGGGAAGGGGCGUCGCAGGUACACUGCCGGUCAGAGAGCCCUACUUGAUUCCACGCACAAAAUACAGGGCGGCCUCUCCUCCACGAGCUUUGGUUUGCAAGGGCCCUCAGGAUCCCCGGGGCCGUGUUCCUCUCCCUCCACCCCCUGCACCCGCCGCUGGAUGCGCCCCGGCCCUGCUGGCCACCCCUUCUCCGGGCCACCUGGCGCGCCUCUCGGCUCUGCCCUCAGCCUCGUCAGGCACACCAUCCUUUCGGACUCCUGCGUGCCCAGCUGCGGUGCGGGGACAGCCAUACACUAAUGCCAUCCUCGAGUCAUUCAGUGCUUGAGGGGUGAGAUGGGCCUCGUAGGGGAGGGUUUGCACUUGGCCUCCUGCGGUGUUGCCCGGUGGGCGCUAUCAUGGCUCUGCCGGUCCUCCGUGUCCGGUGUUCUGCUGACGGCCGUGAGCUGCUGUGUCAGAGACCCUCGAGAAGGACGUGCUGCAAAGACCUCCGUGACACGCUCUGUCUGUGCUCGUGACUGCUGGGAGCCUGUCACUUCCAGCUCCUACCGCAAACACGACCGCAUGUGCGGACUUCAGGGCAGCUUGAUUCCCUUCGAUGGCACUGUCCUGGGCAGGUUCUCCCAGCUCCAGGCUUCGGCCGGGGCUGUGGGGUGAGGCCAGUGGGGCAUUCCAAACAUGAAGCUCUGCCUGUUUUGUUUUUUAGCAGAACAUUUUGUCAUCUUGAAAAUGUCAAUUAAGAUGGUUCAAAAACCGACGGAGGGAUGGGUCUUCGGCUAACUUCUUUGAAUGAGGUUUCUGUCCAAAAGUUUCUGUCUUUUCAGCAAUUUUGGAAAUUGGUAAAAAGUUAUCUGUACCUUGCUGCUGAAAUUCUUUAAACUCAUUUCGACGUUCACAGUUGUUUUCUGUCUGGAUUCUGUUUGUAAGAAUGAUCGGGGUAGGAAAAUAGAGCGCACACAGCAGACCUGCUCCAAGAACCCCGUUCCGAAAGUCUGAUCACCAAAUCGGCAGUCUCCUCGAAGCGUAGGUGGGACGAUCUGCUUCUGGCAGGAAACUGGAAAAAGAGCCAGGACCGGAGUGUCGGCAGAAAUGGUUCUCCUCCAUCGCCCCGAACACCGAGUCCUGAGAUGGGCUUGUAUCCUGGAAGGCUGCUCACAUGGGACCGUCCCUCAGAAAUGCAGGGAUUGUGACCCCCCCCCCCCCCACACACACACUGCAAAACCGACCUCGCUUGAUUUUGCUGGGAUUUCUACUCAUGACUCUUCAGGGAAAAAAUGUAAACUCUGGUAUUUAUAGCUACAAACCUUUUUAGGAGAAAGUUAUCAUACUCAGCUUGGUUGUCUGAUUAGCUGUAGCGGACAUUCAUCCAUCUCCAAUCUCACUUUUAAACCAGCUUUUGUGAGGCGGUUUCCAGUUGAGUUCGCACCACCCUCCCCACGUACCUGGCGUCCCAAGAAAAUAGUCUGUUAACUCCCUGGCCUCCCGCCAGGCUGGAAAGUACGCGCUGGUCUCCGCCGAGCGCACGCCUCUGGUUACCAUCUGCACCCUGGUGGGGAAUUUUGUGUUAAUCCCCAAGAUGAAUCCUGCAUGUUGAGUAUAAAAAUUUUAAUAGCUUUAAAAAUAUUGAGCCUUUCUUCUUCACCAAAUGGCAAGUUUCUUCUUUGCAUCCAGAAAUGGUAUCCAAAGUGUUUAAUGCUGGCUUCCGUC